GAUCCAGCCAUGCCGCGUGAGUGAAGAAGGCCUUCGGGUUGUAAAGCUCUUUCGGCCGGGAAGAAAUCGCAUAGGUUAAUACCCUGUGUGGAUGACGGUACCGGAAUAAGAAGCACCGGCUAACUACGUGCCAGCAGCCGCGGUAAUACGUAGGGUGCGAGCGUUAAUCGGAAUUACUGGGCGUAAAGCGUGCGCAGGCGGUUUCGUAAGACAGAGGUGAAAUCCCCGGGCUCAACCUGGGAACUGCCUUUGUGACUGCNAAGCUAGAGUACGGCAGAGGGGGGUGGAAUUCCACGUGUAGCAGUGAAAUGCGUAGAGAUGUGGAGGAACACCGAUGGCGAAGGCAGCCCCCUGGGCCGAUACUGACGCUCAUGCACGAAAGCGUGGGGAGCAAACAGGAUUAGAUACCCUGGUAGUCCACGCCCUAAACGAUGUCAACUAGGUGUUGGGUGGGUAAAACCAUUUAGUACCGUAGCUAACGCGUGAAGUUGACCGCCUGGGGAGUACGGCCGCAAGGUUAAAACUCAAAGGAAUUG
rnacentral:rRNA from 1 species